CGGGUGAGUAACACGUAUGCAACCUGCCCUGCCACAGCCGGAUAAUCGGGAGAAAUUCCGUCUAAUACGGCAUAAUGCAUCGACGGGACAUCCUGUUGGUGCCAAAGGUUGAUUCCGGUGGCGGAUGGGCAUGCGUCGCAUUAGUUAGUUGGCGGUGUAACGGACCACCAAGACGACGAUGCGUAGGGGUUCUGAGAGGAAGGUCCCCCACACUGGUACUGAGACACGGACCAGACUCCUACGGAAGGCAGCAG
rnacentral:rRNA from 1 species